GAGAGGGAGCCUGAGAAACGGCUACCACAUCUAAGGAAGGCAGCAGGCGCCCAAAUUACCCAAUCCCUAAUAGGGGAGGUAGUGACAAGAAAUAACAAUAUAGGACUUUUUGGUUAUGUAAUUGGAAUGAGUUAAGUAUAAACCCCUUUACAAGUAUCAAUUGGAGGGUAAGUCUGGUGCCAGCAGCCGCGGUAAUUCCAGCUCCAAUAGCGUAUAUUAAAGUUGUUGCAGUUAAAAAGCUCGUAGUUGGAU
rnacentral:rRNA from 1 species